rnacentral:lncRNA from 10 species
UGCCCUUCCAUGUGAACAGAAACGCCUCUCCCUCUGAGGUGAAAAUGGUGCUGUCAACACCCUCCUCAGAGGGCACAUGCCUUGUGAGUGAGAGUGAUGGAGCUCCGCCAGCAGCCAUGCUCUCCACCCUCCUCACGGGGAAAGGCUGCUCUUUACUGGCCAGCCCUCUGGAAAUGUCCCUCUGAGUCACUCUUAACAAGACAGGAGAAAGCAGUUUCCUGCUUUCACGCCUUCCCUUUUUUCUUUUCUCUCUUCCUUCCUUCUUCCGUUCCUCUUCCUUCCCUCCCUCUUGACCUUCCUCUCUCCCUCCCUUCUUUCCUUCCUUCCUGUGGCUCUCCUUUGUGAGUGACCUACCUCCGCUUCCUACUCUGUGACUUUGCACAUUCAAUCAUUGCCUGGCUCCACCAGCAGUAUAUAAGGUGAAAGAGGAUCCUGCCAGCUGUUCUAGGCCCAGAGGACACCUCUCUCUCUCUCUCUGUCACUCACACACACACACACACACACACACACUCUCUCUCUCUCUCUCACACACACCCACUUAUUGAUGGGGUAAUAGGAUCAAGAGGUAGCUUUGCAUCAUCAAAAAGAAGUCAGUCAUUCUAGCCUGGAGCUUUAGAAGACGAAGUAAAAAAGAAGUCAGACAGUCCUAGCUUUGAAUCCUGGCCCAGCCACUUACUAGGUGGGAGACCUUGGGACAAUCGUAUCCCUUCUGGGGGAAUUUCCCCACCUCCAUGUUGAAGCCAAGGAUGACUAGUACUCCAUGGAAAAGAGGUCAACAUGAUAACCAGGAGAUGUGGUCAUGGGGCAUUAAAAGGUUCGAAGCUGUUCCAGAAAGGAUGUCAUUGAUGUGGAAUACAGGAACUGUGGAUGCCUCCUGAAUGGGAGCUGCAAACGAUUAUCAGAGUCAAGCAAGAGGAAUGGCAAGGCAUGUGCUGAAUAACAUCACAUUAAUAUGGCUCUUAGCUACCUAACCCAUUAGGAGCCAUAAUUAGGAGAGUUUGAAACAGACUGCAAGCAUCUUCUCCAGAAAGAAGCUAGACUCUGGUGCUUCCCCGAGUGGCCCCCUGUGGUGUGGCAUGUCCGCUUCUCUUGGCAUCUGUGAGUAUAACUAUCUUUUUGAUAACAGUCAUCUAGUCUGCUGGCCUUGCUGUACCUAAAUAAUAAUAAUAAAACCAUUAACUACAUUUUAAAACAAGAAACCCUAUGCUCCAGAGGGGUUCCUUCUGCUUCCCAAACAGGUCCCUGCUUUCCUAUGCCCAUGUCUUUUCCUGUGCCUUUCCUCGUUCCCAGAAUAAACUUUCUCUGCCACAUCUGCAUCUUACAAUUCUAUCCAUCUUUCAAUAUAUUCUUGCUGGCAUUGUCUUGAAUCUCUGGUGACAAUAUAGACUUAAAGAUGAGAGUGUGAGGUUCAGAUUGGUUUGUGACUUAUACUAUAUCACACAGCAAGUUGAAGGCGGCAUCAGGCUCGAAGCCCAGCAGGCUUUCUUUGUGCCCCUUCCAAUCAUUCUAUUGGCUUAGGUCAACUGAGUGUGUGCAACAGAAAUGGAUCUUAGUUAACUUGAGAACAAAAGGGAUUUUCCAGAAAGAUGCUGGGGCAGCUCAAAG